GUCUCUGUGGCGCAAUCGGUUAGCGCGUUCGGCUGUUAACCGGAGAGGUUGGUGGUUCAAGCCCACCUAGGGACG